GACGAACGCUGGCGGCGUGCUUAACACAUGCAAGUCGAACGCUGAAGCUCAGCUUUUGUUGGGUGGAUGAGUGGCGAACGGGUGAGUAACACGUGAGUAACCUGCCUCCUUCUUUGGGAUAACGCCCGGAAACGGGUGCUAAUACUGGAUAUUCACUGGUCUUCGCAUGGGGGUUGGUGGAAAGGGUUUUUCUGGUGGGGGAUGGGCUCGCGGCCUAUCAGCUUGUUGGUGGGGUGAUGGCCUACCAAGGCUUUGACGGGUAGCCGGCCUGGGAGGGUGACCGGGCACCUUGGGACUGGGCUACGGCCCAGACUCCUACGGGAGGCAGCAGUGGGGGAUAUAGCACGAUGGGCGCAAGCCUGAUGCAGCGACGCCGCGUGAGGGAUGGAGGCCUUCGGGUUGUGAACCUCUUUCGCUCAUGGUCAAGCCGCAACAAUGGUUGUGGUGAGGGUAGUGGGUAAAGAAGCGCCGGCUAACUACGUGC
rnacentral:rRNA from 1 species